AUGGUGGGCUCGCUGCCAGAAGAGCUAUGGCGUUUUACCGGGUUCUACGGAGAACCUAGAUGGGAGGACAAGCAUCUGUCGUGGACGUACCUGCGCGGCCUGCAUACUCACUAUAAUGCACCUUGGGUUGUCGCGGGAGACUUCAACGAAAUUCUUUAUUCGCAUGAGAAGGAAGGAGGAGCCCCGCGGCCGACACGCAUGAUGUAGGACUUCCGUGAUGCAUUGGUUGACUGCGAGUUGGAGGAUAUGGGAGCGGUGGGUGAUCAGUUUACAUGGCGCCGGAGACGGCUGCGUCAACGACUUGACAGAGUGGUCUGCAAUGGGAGCUUGCAUGGUCUGUUCCCGAAUGCAUUUGUGACCAACACACCACAUAUUAAGUCUGACCAUAGGCCUCUUGUGUUGAACCUAGAAGGAGAGGUGGAUGUGGAUAGUCAACAGCGUAAUACUCAAAGCAGUUUGAGGCAAGCUGGCUCAAAGAAGAUGAUGUCACGAAUAAGGUAA
rnacentral:rRNA from 1 species